AAGCAGAACGUCAGUCACUCUAUUCAGACAUUACAUCAAAACACCCAUUAUUAGGAAUAAUACAAAGUGAAAGACUUUGAAAAUGUAUAUGUUAUUAUGCCUUAAAAGAUUAAGUAGAUCAAUUUUUGCAUAGGUAUGAUUAAUCUCAAUAUAUGCUUUUCCCCCCUCACACUGAGUUUCUCUGACGUUUGUAACCAGCAAGUAUUAAUGUAUUUCUACUCUCAAUUUACUUCUGAAAUUCAUUUCUUCCUAGUGGGUUUGGAAAAUCACGUGGUCGAUUAUUGCUGCCUCAAAGAUAUGAUGUGCCCUUCUUUAGGUAAGUCUCAUUCAUCAUUUUCUAUGGAAAACAUGACACCCAAUAUAUAAAGCACAUCUCAAUGCAGAUGCUGUUUGUGGUUAUGAAAUUGAUGUAUAACAACUCUUAUAUGGGCUGCUGGCCCAAUGUUGGUCUGAUCCACUGUAGAUGGAUGACAUUCCACUGAGGCUGAUCCACAGCUGGCAGGAAACUCCAUUCUGCUGGGGCCCCAUGAUGAGUGCUCUACUCUGAGGAUUGUGCAAGGCAUUGUGAUCACACUUGCUCAUGGCCAGAGACACUUGCCCCACCGUCAGGUAUCACACUGUGUUCCAUGCAGCAAGGAGGAAGUGUAAAUCUGAUGGGACUUGGGGAAUUUAUUUUGCAACCACUCCUUUUUCACUCAGGAAAGACAAUCCUUUUCAAAGCACUUCUCUCCCGUCUCAUUGACCAGAACGUUGACAAACCACAACUCUAAGUAACAAUGUAUCUGUAACACAGGGAGAUAUGUGAGAUUGUCAGGAAUGGCCAGUGUUACCUGAAGUGUUUUAAGGCAUCUGACACAAAGGACAUCAUGCUUUGCACUGUAAUCAGUUGUCAUGAAAAAAACCCCUGAAAUUUAGAGUACGCCUACCCAGGUCCACAAGAAUUUAUCAUGUAUGCAUACAGAGUGCUCAUUCUUUAUACUUGAGCACAAGGAGCUUCUUAAGAGUGCAAUUAUUUGUUGUCUUAUAGUAAAAAUCACGAAGUGCAGAUUGGUAUUGAUAAUGCUGCUAUAUUCUACUCCAUUAUAAAAUACUAUCUAUUAAUGUGUGGCUGUAUGUGUUUCAUAUUUUAUUUGGUGAAAUAUCUGAAUAAAUUCUAAUUCAUGUUAAGUUGUAUUAUUUCAUGACAGAAUGUGAGGAUGAGUGCAUUUCUAGGUGACUCCAGGAUGCUCAAAGAGGCCAUUGAGGAAAAUGAGACAAGGAAGACCUGCAAACUGGAACAGACUAUGUUAGAGUCAGACUCGUUGAUGAAUUUAAAAAAUGUGGUGUGUGUGUGUGUGUGUGUGUGACACCACUAAUCUCACCACAAACAUAGAGGUUUCUAAAAGUAACUUUUAUGUGCAUAACUCAGGGAUGGCCUGUGACUUAGUAAUUGCAGAGACUGUCAAAUUGAUGUUGCAUCAGAUUUACCUGGAGCACCGAUAAAACAUCAGAUUUCUAGGCCUUUCCCCAUUUUAUCAUUUCAAUAGUUCUGGGCUGUAACUCCCCAUUUUUCCUUUCUCACAAGUUCUCAGUUGUUGCUUAAGGUCAUGUUU